rnacentral:misc_RNA from 1 species
UGGUUCUGGCAUCGAUGAAGAACGCAGCGAAAUGCGAUAAGUAAUGUGAAUUGCAGAAUUCAGUGAAUCAUCGAAUCUUUGAACGCACAUUGCACCCCUCGGUAUUCCGGGGGGUAUGCCUGUCCGAGCGUCAUUACAACCCUCAAGCCUCGCUUGGUAUUGGGCAUCCGCUCCCCGCAUCAUGGGUCGGGCGGGCCUGAAAUUCAGUGGCGGUCCGGCGCAGUCUGGGGUGAAGUAAAACAUCUCUCGCGUCCUGCAGGCCUGCGUCGUGUCCGGCCAAAAGAGGUCGAUCGCCUCCGGGCGGUCGUCAACCCCAAAGAUUGACCUCGGAUCAGGUAGGGAUACCCGCUGA